UGAAAAUACAAUAUAUUGGCUAAUGGUACUUAGUAUAAUUGUCCAUUCCAUUACGACCAAAUAUGUUACUUUUAGGUGCCAGGCAAAAAUGUUUCUUUUCAUACAGGCUUUUGGCCUUUAACUUGGAGUGUUUUAGAUUUUGUGGCCUCCGCUAAUGGGUGGGAUGUGUUAAAUUGCCUUUUAUGCAUAUAAAUGCUUUUAGCUUUUCUGUUUAGUUUUAUCUUGGUUUUAUUUUUUAUUAUACCAAAUGUGUAAAAAAUAAUAAUAAUAAUUACAAAAUAUAGCUCACUGGACAGAAUAUUAAUCAGCCCUGAAUACUAAAAUAUACACACAAGUACCUUCCACUUUGGAUUAUACUAUUCUAGUCUAUUGACCUAAUAUUCCUUCUUCAUCUAUCUGUAUUAGAACCAGACCUCAACAUUUUGUCAUAGGUUGACCUAAACACAGAUUCAAUAUGGGACCUGUGAAAGAGGAUAGGGAGUCAGACAGAAGCAUUCUUGAUUCAUAAUGGAUGGGAAAUGAUCCCAUUGUUUUGUCCUUUAUAAGUUAAUUGCUUGUUAUCUUCUCCUAUGGAGAAAAAGCUGUGCAUGAGGUCAAUGAGGGUAGCAUUUCUCUCUGCUCUGACACUAGAUGACCCAAUCCUCUCUGACAGGCUAUAUAUUGGACUACAACUCCCAUUCGUUCCAGCAGUGCUACCUGAGGAUCAUGGGAGUUUGUAGUUCGAAACAUCUGGAGAGCAUCAGAUUAGUGAAGGCUGCCAUGGGGUGUAAUUUUCCAUUUCCUCCAAACCUGAGUGGUGCCAAAGGAGGAAGUUUUGGGACAGGAGUUGGAGCAGCCAAGGAGCUGUCCAGCAGGAUCUGGAAGGCUGGGCAGGGGACCUCCCCCUCACAGCUGUUGCACCAACAAUUUUCAAUCAGUAACUGAUGGUUUUACAGUAGACCCGGCUCUGCCUCUUCUGGCAUCUCCAUGGGGCUCUGAUCCAGAGCAUGCACUAGUAGUACUUACCUCCUCUUCCCAAGCAGGGCUGAGGACAGGGAGGCUUCAGUCUUCCAAACAGUUUGGGGUUUUAGCACAGGGAAACAUUUGGUCCCUCAUUAUUGCAGCCUCCUCAAGAGGGGAAUAAUUCAGUUCUUUCUUAGGAGUUGUUAACUUCCCAGAGUCCCCAUCUGUGCUGGGGCUCAAAGUAGGGUUCCUCUUCUUCUCUGUGGAGAAAGUCUGGUUUGGUUCAGAGUCUGCACAUAGGCAGGUACUGAUACAGAUUCAUUUUGGUAUUUAGACAGAGGACAUCCUCCACUCCCACUCUGGUCUUUGCAAUGCAAAAGCUUUCCCUCUGCAUACAUCCUGCCCAUCAUCAUGGUGGGUAUUUCACUAGCAAAGAGUUGCAAUCAUCUGGCAUUAGGAGGAAGGCAUUUCAGCUCAGAGAGUGUGGCUUGUUUCAGGCCCCAGCGCUGAAGUACUGGAGAAUUUGUAGAUACAGAAUGAAUCAGGGCUUCCAUCUUCAUUGCCACAAUGUGUUACUGGAUAAAGCAUUUUAAAAAAAUGAAUGAAAGCAUAAAUGGGAUUUGGUCUCAAGAAGGACAUCUGCUUAAAAUCACCAUGCCCUCACCCCACAUUAUGUAAGGUGGCAGAUUUGUUAGUUAUGCUGGUGGCUGUCCUUAAUAUGUGUGACAAUGGAGUUCUCUUUGAUGCUCAAAUGUCAGGCCAGUGUUUAAUGGCUUUGGCUGGAGUUAAGCAAAGCACAGGAGGGUGCCAUUCAAAAUCCCCAUGCAGUUCAGCCAGUUCAUCCAAAUGCUGACCUGCAAUGCCCUUUCUAUUUCAGGUUUGGGCCCCAUCCAUAUAGAUGCAGACAAUAUUCAACCUUCUCUCCAUCAGACAAUAGCCUAGACUGUUGUAUGUGUGCAGAUGGAUAAAUAGGGAUAUGCUUAAGUGUCCUCUGCCAUCCAGGUUGAAACCAGGCAAUAGUGGGUGUUCCUGUCAGCAUCAGGAGGUUGAAACUGGCAAGAGUCCUGAGAUUAUGGCUUCAAAAGGCAGCAGCUGAAUUUCAAUGACUUUUCAAACGGGGCUGUUCAUCCCUCUCUGCAUUUGUUCACAAUAUAAGUAAUGCCAGUGAAUCAGUUUCUAUGAGCUGUGGGAUGAAGAAUCAAAGUCUGGGUUGUUGUCCUGCGCACCACUGACAUGCCACCCCCAGAAGGAAUGUGGUCCUCAGGCUGAAAAGAUUUCAGUGGAACCAUAGUAGCCCCAACUCAGUGGGAGUCAAUGACAACAAAAGGCAGCAGCGCCCCUUGAAAUGAAGAAGUGCUUCGCUGAAAAGUGGUGCCAAUAGCUACAGUAGAAUUGUUUAAGACUCAGUCAGAGAACGACUGUUGCUGAAGCAACAUUUGAGCUCUGCUCUUCCAAAUUCUCCAGCCUGAGCCCUGCAUAGAGUUCUCCAGGGUACUACUGAAACUUGCCUUGCCUCUGUACUGCUAAGGCUGCUCCUCCAAUCAGAAUAUUAUAUUGCAGAGAAAUAAAAAGAAAACUUUAUGGCUUCUAGAAAGACUUGCCUUUCUCAUUUCUACUGUUUGUUCCCUGGUUAUUCCUCAUUUGGAAGACUAGGAGCUUGUCCACCCCAGAGUUCACUAUGCGUUCAUUGUGUCUUUGCAUUUCCAUUUAAUUUGCAUAGUCCACAAGUAAUUAUCUUCAAACAACUCCAAUAUUGAUGAUUCUCCCCUGUGAAUUUGGGGUUACCCAAUAUGGAAAUUAUCCAAUAAAUUGAGGGAAAUUGAUCUCUAAACUUCUGCACUUGAGGGUCACAGAUUAUUUGGGGGUUUUUUGUGUGUGGGGUGGAUGGCUUAGUCAUCACUUUCUGCCACUACUUCCUCAAUGCUUUCAUUGCUUUUCUGGCUGUGCUUGUAACAAUACGCAGUGCUCUCCUAAAUGAAGGAGCUCACCCUUGAUCCCUCAGAUUUGCAUGAAAUCAGAAAAAUGCAAAGCAAACCACUCCAUAUGAUUGUGCUGAGAAUUUACAAUUGCCUGACUCUGUGCUUUUGUGCACUUCCUGGGCAGGGUUUUAUUUUUUAAGGUGCUUGCACAGCUAUUGAUGUGCAUGCCCUGUUGGUACUUAAUCAGCAUAAUAUAAUAAAGAAAUUAGAAGAUGAGGGCAUACACAAAAGGUAACCCCUACUGGUACGAAUGAGAAAGACCCAACUAGCUCCUGACAUACAAAUCCAAGCAUGUGCGGGUGUAGAUGACUGGCCUAAUUUGAAGGUGGGGGAGUGGAUUAACAGCUAAAUAAUGCUCCAACACAGACAAGCCCUACUAAUGUACUGUAUAUUGGCCCUCUUGGUUUGCCAUGCAAAGAAGUGUUUGACCCCCCUCUCAGGCUCUGCACUUUCAUUUUUGGUUCUGUGUUGCCAGCAACAGUUUGCUGUAUGACAUUUUCUCAGUAGGUUUCUUCUUACGGACGUUCUUGAUAGCUAAGGCUCUGUGUGGCUUCUAUAAUGUUUCUUAAAAAAUGAAUUCAACUAUCUCAGCCCUCAAAAACAUAUGACAAUAAAAGCUCUAUAUUAACAAGGUGAGGUGAAAUGGGAAUGUGCUUUCUCCCUGCCACUGUGCUCCCCCCUUCCACUGUGUGCCGAAAACUGCCCCCUCUUGUUGAAUUCUGCAAGAGCAGGGAACGUUCCACAAGACCUUGGUGCUUGACUUCUCUGCCCCAGGGGCAAGGAAGAUGAGUAGCAAUGCUGCAUGCCAGAACACUUGCCUGUCAUUGGAACUCAGUGGGGGAUGUUCCAGUGGUGGUGGAAGCAGUGGGGCAAGAGUGGUGCCGCUUCUUGCACUUCCACUGCCUGAGGCGGCUGCUUCACCCCACCUAAUGGGUGAGCUGGCUCUGCAUUGACAAGUUUCUCCUAAAACCCAGCCACUUAGACGGGGGGGGGGCUAACCUAUAACCCUCCAGAUGUUGUUGGACUCCAACUCCCAUCAGCCCCAGUCAGGAUGGUCAACUGGGAUAGGAGUCACAAGUCCAACAACAUCUGGAGGGUUACAGGUUCUGCAUCCCUGCUCCAAAGAUUUAACCUAAACAGGAUAUGCCCAGAAGAGACUUUGAGCCCAGAGAACAACAUUCACAGAGAGUUCCCAGAGCUCAAUAUUUUGAGGCUCAGUGUCCUGCUUUUCUCUUUGCCUUGUGCAUAGCUCUUAUCUACGUCAGAGGGAUUUAUAUGCUCACUGAAAUUGUCCUGACCUCCAAACCCUUUUCUAUUUUAGGCUGUUUGACUUCUUGACAUUUUCCCGGUUAUUCUCAGAUGUUUUGCUGCAUUUUACCUAAAGCUACACUAUGCUGGAGACACAUGUAAAGCCAACAGCUUUCCCUCUUUAGAGCCAUUUAGUUAUUUGAUUCAGAAAAACGGGUUGCCAGGUUUUAGAAUAUUCCUGCCUGGCUGUCUCAAUUCCUUUAGCUGCCUGGCAUGCUAAUAGGAAGUAGGUGAAGCAUUUCCUGGCAUGGAGGAAAACUUUCACUUGCUAGAUUUCUGGGUCAGACAUAGGAGUAGAGACAGAAAAAAAGUUGGCCUUUUUUUUUCAGAACAUUCCACUGCAAUUCAAUUAACAGUUGGCUGUAUUUUAACAGGUUUUUUAAAUAAAAGAACCCUCUUACGGAUUGCACAAACAUGAAUUGCAAAAGCAAUAUUAAAU